rnacentral:rRNA from 1 species
GAUGAACGCUGGCGGCGUGCCUAAUACAUGCAAGUCGAGCGAACAGAUGAGGAGCUUGCUCCUCUGACGUUAGCGGCGGACGGGUGAGUAACACGUGGAUAACCUACCUAUAAGACUGGGAUAACUUCGGGAAACCGGAGCUAAUACCGGAUAAUAUCUUUAACCGCAUGGUUCAAUAGUGAAAGACGCUUUUGCUGUACCUUAUAGAUGGCUCCGCGCCGCAUUAGCUAGUUGGUAAGGUAACGGCUUACCAAGGCAACGAUGCUUAGCCGACCUGAGAGGGUGAUCGGCCACACUGGAACUGAGACACGGUCCAGACUCCUACGGGAGGAAGCAGUAGGGAAUCUUCCGAAAUGGGCGAAAGCCUGACGGAGCAACGCCGCGGGAGUGAUGAAGGUCUUCGGAUCGUAAAACUCUGUUAUUAGGGAAGAAGAAAUGUGUAAGUAACUAUGCACGUAGUGACGGUACCUAAUCAGAAAGCCACGGCUAACUACGUG